AUAAUGUAGAGAGAAACUUGGCAAACACCGCCGAAACAAACCACCGCCGGCAGCCGCCGGCCACCGUUUCGCCCGAGUCUAGUCCCGUCCGCGCGCGCAUGCGCAUCCAGUCAGCGCGCGGCCGCUUCCACCCUCGCGAUUUUAUCCACUCUCACCAGUCACCAACGGAGCUUCGCUCAGCGCAGCGCCAUCCCCCCGCCUCCGGAUUCUCUCGCCCCAGGCUGAACAACCCCACGUUCGCCACGUGCGCUCGCGCCACCGCCUCGCCGCCUCAGCCAAUGAUCUAGAGCCUGGCGGAUCUGACGCGGCGCCUCCGCCCCGCCUCCGCGGUCCGGUCACCGUCUCGCUCGCCGAGGCGCGCGCCUCUCCGCCUGUUCGUGCCGCCCUCGCCGGCCUAUGGGGACGCUCGUCUGGCUGAGGCCGAUCGCGGCCCCGGCCGUCCCCGCCGGUCCCUCCGCCGCGCACGUGGUGGCUGGCGGUAGUGUAAAAGGCCGGCCUCGGCGGGUGUCCGUGGCGUCCCGCUGCCCGAAUCCGCGCGUGCUCCAGGCGGGGAGGUGCCGGUGGCUGGUUGUCAGGUCGGGUGUCACCGCCGCUGCAGCCGCCGCAGAUGACCCCGAGGAUUCGUCGGGGCUAUCAGAUCUGCAAGUGGCUUCGAGGAUCAGAGGGGUCUUCUUCUACACGGUGACUGCUGUUGCGGCGAUCUUUUUGUUUAUAGCUAUGGUUGUGGUUCAUCCACUUGUGCUCUUGUUUGACCGACACCGUAGGAGAGCUCAGCACUAUAUUGCAAAGAUUUGGGCUACUUUGACAGUUUCUAUGUUCUACAAGCUUGAAGUCGAGGGAAUGGAGAAUCUACCUCCCAAUAGUAGCGCUGCUGUCUAUGUUGCUAACCAUCAGAGCUUCUUGGAUAUCUAUACCCUUCUAACUCUAGGAAGGUGCUUCAAAUUUAUAAGCAAGACUAGUAUCUUUAUGCUUCCAAUUAUUGGGUGGGCAAUGUAUCUCUUGGGUGUCAUUCCUUUACGACGUAUGGACAGCAGGAGCCAGCUGGACUGUCUUAAACGGUGUGUGGAUUUGUUGAAAAGGGGGGCGUCUGUAUUUUUCUUUCCAGAGGGGACUCGAAGUAAAGAUGGAAAGCUAGGUAUAUUCAAGCGAGGAGCAUUUAGUGUCGCUGUGAAGACUGGCGUUCCUGUCAUACCUAUUACCCUUCUCGGGACAGGGAAACUGAUGCCUCCUGGAAUGGAAAGCAACCUUAAUUCAGGUGCAGUAAAAGUCAUUAUUCACCGUCCAAUUGAAGGGAAUGAUGCAGAGAAAUUAUGUUCCGACGCAAGGAAUGUGAUAGCAGACACUCUUCUUCUACAUGGUUAUGGAGUGCACUAAUGGAAGUGGGUGAUUUUUCCUAUUCAAUAGAUCAUGGAACCUAGUUUGCCGAAACGUGUCGACUCAAGGCAAAGAUAGUUUACAGCUGGUAGAGGUGCUGAGUGCAGAGGCAUUCUUUUUGCUGCAGAAUGAAGACAGGGGCUGGAGGAAGAAUAAGAAUGACUUGUGCUUGUUAGUUGCUGUUUGUGACUUGCAAAGUAGGCUCUGAUGUAGUUUAUCUUUCACAAAUUGUAGUUUGCAUUUUUUGCCUUGUUCUAUAGUAUUUAACAUGAAAAGAUGUGAUGUGGCGAAGAACUCAUGUGGACUUAGAUGAUCUUGCCAUAUUCUACACACUGGGAAGAUAAGAUUUUUUUUUGUGGGUGAGAAGAUAAUAAAGUUGGCACGUGAUUUCCUUU